CCUAUUUUACUAAACAGAUAAAGCUAUACGUAUAUAACGUUAGCUUUAUACGUCAAUGACCUCAACUAACCUAUAAGCCCCGCCUACUUACCGGAACACUUGUUAUGUCUUCAAAUUGGUAAUUUAUAUACCAUGUUUAUUAAAUGUUAUUAAUUAAGUUCAUUUUCCCUUUCUAAUUCCUUAAAAUGUCAAUGUUUUACCGUUGGACUACGCUCAUAGGGAAAUACCCCAAAAUGAUACCCCAAGAGGGAAAUUCCAAACACUUUUUUUCAACAAUGUUUGUUACAUAUUUUUUUUUAUUUUUUUUUUUUUAUUUUUUAUCGAUUUCAGUAUAAAAACAAUAUACGUAUAGUGUCUUGAAAUAUGAAAUUUAUUUGUAUUCGGCAAGAAACAGGGGAAAUGCUCGGUAGAACCUCGUAUUUCCCCCGUUUCUA
rnacentral:lncRNA from 1 species